UUUUGUCUAGGGUAACAUUGUGGCUUUUCUGUGCAAUUCAAGUUUCCUCCGUAGUUGUAAAUUGAAUAUAAUUCGUUAUACAGUGAGUCGGUUCAGUUGCGCGACAAAGGUUUGUUGGACUGGAAACAACCACGCGCAAAGCUGAAGUUUAUCAAAGUCGUCAAUUGUUCCAGAUAGUUUGUGACAUGUGGUUUCAAUGAAAAAGAGAAUUUCACAAAUGACAGUUCAAUUAUACGUACUUACUGAAUCGAUUUUCUCCUCCUCCACUCUCAAUGUACAAUUAUUACACGGUAAUUCUCUGCUUUCGAGUUCCAGCUCAAACACAAACGAUUAAUUUAAUACUCAACGAGCCGUUGUCCAUUAUGGUUCUGAGGAUGAAUUGAAAAAUCAUUGAGUUACGAAAAAAAAAGAUAGGCUUCAGGCAAAGAGAUCUUUGCGCGAACCGAGCAGCGCUCAAGUUUCAUAUAGCUAUUGUGGCAGAAGAUCAGUUGGACAGGGAACCUACAGCUUCACUUGCAGUUCAGCACAGAGCGCACCCGGACACACGAUUUAUGAGGAAACUUGCUCGUUUCCAAGCAACUUUUGAGUUAUCAAACUUGCUUAAAACGGCUUGCCAGAACACCCGGUUCAUCCUUCAUUUUUAAAGUGUGGGAUUUCAGAUAAAUUUUGGGGAGACGUCGCUUGUGAUCCAGAAAGAUUAUCCCUCUGUCCUAUCUCUGUCAGUAGAAAGGAUACCACCGUUUAAAGAGGCCGUCCUGAUAAAUUAACGGGAAGCUUCAGCUACAAUGGGGUUCAGUUGUUAAUGGUCCUCCAAAGAUAAAUGGCAAAUGGGACAUAGAGGGAAUACGAUGAAUGAGAGACAGUGAAGUAGGUUUCACCCAAAUUAACGACAGAUUCUGCGCACGAAAAACUCGGACGAUGAAUCGAUUUUGACGAAUCCUCAAAUUUACAUUGCCAUCGCUUUACAUCCCUUCAGGAUCAUGACGUCCUAACUGCGAUUCACGGUUGAGAAAUAUAGGCUCAUCCGUUGUGGCACAAGCCAGAGUAAACCUCAAUGAGCGCAGGUGUGCGAAGAGAAAAUUAUAUACGAAAACACAAAUUACCGAGGUAACUUAGCAACUGGGCACUACGCAAUGUUUGACGUCAUUUUUUCGACGUCUUUUUUUGAGAGAUGAUGGAGAUCAUUUUUGUAGGACGCCAUCUAGAAGCUGGGGAUUCUAUUGAAUUUAGUAGAGCCCUAAUUAUCUCUAAGAUUGAAGUUGUAUUAUUUACCAAGUCUCUGCCACCAUAGAGUAACAAACUACUAUACCUUUGAUGUGUUUUUUUUUUUUGGAUUUCGCGCUCCUUGAAACAAUUUCAUAAUGUUCAAACUCGAAAUUACUACUAAAACGCUUGUCCUCCAAUUGCUAUCAUAAAUUUAAUACUACACGUAACUCAAAUGGUAACUUUUUUGAUUCAUAGGAAUUUUCUCAAGUUCUGAUGGUACCCGUAGGAAUUAAUAUUCUGAAUUAUCAUUAAAUACUUGGCCUCGAAUUAAUAUCAUAAGUUUUAAUGCUGAACAUAA
rnacentral:lncRNA from 1 species